rnacentral:rRNA from 1 species
GAUGAACGCUAGCGGCAGGCCUAACACAUGCAAGUCGAGGGAGAAGCCCUUCGGGGCAGAAACCGGCGCACGGGUGCGUAACGCGUAUGCAACCUACCUUUCACAGGGGGAUAGCCCGAAGAAAUUUAGAUUAAUACCCCAUAAUAUUAUUGGAUGGCAUCAUUUGAUAAUUAAAAUUACGAUGGUGAAAGAUGGGCAUGCGUCCUAUUAGCUAGUUGGAGUGGUAACGGCACCCCAAGGCUACGAUAGGUAGGGGUCCUGAGAGGGAGAUCCCCCACACUGGUACUGAGACAGGGACCAGACUCCUACGGGAGGCAGCAGUGAGGAAUAUUGGUCAAUGGUCGGAAGACUGAACCAGCCAUGCCGCGUGCAGGAAGAAUGCCUUAUGGGUUGUAAACUGCUUUUAUAUGGGAAGAAUAAGGAGUACGUGUACUUNGANGACGGUNCCA